UACAGAGGGGGCAAGCGUUGUUCGGAAUUACUGGGCGUAAAGGGCGCGUAGGCGGCCCGCUAAGUCGAACGUGAAAUCCCCGAGCUCAACCCGGGAACUGCGUCCGAUACUGGAAGGCUUGAAUCCGGGAGAGGGAUGCGGAAUUCCAGGUGUAGCGGUGAAAUGCGUAGAUAUCUGGAGGAACACCGGUGGCGAAGGCGGCAUCCUGGACCGGCAUUGACGCUGAGGCGCGAAAGCCAGGGGAGCAAACGGG
rnacentral:rRNA from 1 species